UGUGCCUCUGCAGGGCCAAUCGAACAUUCGUAUUCAGUCACGUGACACGCCUGGCCAAUCACAGUGUGUUAUUUUGUUUCCUCCCCCCGUGUUCACUCUCAAUCAUUUUCCCUACACAAAAUGUGAGUAUCUCCCAGUAAUGAGUAUGGAGACUCGCAAAAAUAUGUACUAUUAGGUUACUAUAUUUUAGCUUAUGCUGCAUGAGGUUAAGGUAACCACGAAGUUUAAUAUUUUACUUAAAUAUCUCCAAAAGUAACAAAUUGCGCAAGAAAUUAGCUUUGCCGAGCUUUCGAUUUCACUCGUUUGUUAUUUAAAAAGAUGACUUAUGGUGUUCUGCUCCGGGCUUAAUUAAAGUAAACGCUGGCCAAUUCAUUAUCUAGGUAAAAUUUAUUAUAGCUUUCAAUUGAUAUGAAUUUCUUUUGCUCUUUUUAGUAUACGAGUAAUCGCCGAUGUACCCAAGUUGCUGAUAGUGACGAGACGUCUCCCAUCGUUCCCUUUAGAAGAGAUCCGCUAUAUAUAAGUUUUGUGAAACUUGUCCGGCAUAUAGUAACACAGUCUAACUUAUGUUUUUUUUAGAUAACUCGUAGUUGUAUUUAAAGUCGCCUAACUUAGUUACCUGAAUAAUUAUCGUCGGUGAUUUGAAAAGUCGGUGACUGCCAGACAAGAUUUUUUAAUGUAUUACUGAAAAAAUGGUAUUAAUAUACACUAAUAUUUUGUACAUUUAGAUCGUAUAUACAACUGAAUGAAGGUAUCUAGUGAAGCACAAAUGUUUUUACAUUUUUUUCCAAUUCUUCGGACAUUCAUUAGUGAAAAUUUAAUCAGGAAUAAUUCUCAGUAGCAGCGAAGUACGUCCAAAAAAGGCACUUAAACUUGUAACCUCAAAAUCCAAAUUACUGUUUAACAAAAGUUGCAAGCAAGCGGUUUCAGUUUGGCAGUAAAGUGAGGUCGUGUACCCACGAAGUGCGCUGACAUGCACUCUUCAGCAUCUUCCAGAUGCUACCAUUCUUGUACUACCUAUAUGGGUUUAACCCGGCCUUUUUAACAAGAAUAAAAAUCCUGGAUGGAUGUACGUGUGUGUUAUUGGAUGAUUGUAGUCCUUCUGAAGAAGCACCAAUGUAACAGUGAAUUGGUGUGUGGUGGGUCCGUCGACGGCGACAGUUGGAACGACUACGCCAUCAGCUUAUGCCUAUGUACAACUUUGAUCCCACUGACGAUGGGGAUGAUUGGGAAAAUCAACUGUUAGAGGAGGAGCGUUCACUCAGCCAGAAGCAGAAAAGAGGUCUGGCAAGUAUACUUUUUCUAAGG